GUGGGUAACCUGCCUUAUAGUGGGGGAUAGCCUUUCGAAAGGAGGAUUAAUACCGCAUAAGAUUGUAGUAUCGCAUGAUAUAGCAAUUAAAGGAGCAAUCCGCUAUAAGAUGGACCCGCGUCGCAUUAGCUAGUUGGUGAGGUAAUGGCUCACCAAGGCGACGAUGCGUAGCCGACCUGAGAGGGUGAUCGGCCACAUUGGGACUGAGACACGGCCCAGACUCCUACGGGAGGCAGCAUG
rnacentral:rRNA from 1 species